rnacentral:tRNA from 1 species
AAGGAUUUAAGUUAAAUAAACUAUUAACCUUCAAAGUUAAAUAUAGAAUAAUUAUUCUAAGCCUUA